AGCAGGGUUGGCUUUUCCCAGAGUCUGCAAGAUUUUCAGUGUGUCCCCGAGAGGGGUUGGAGUUUUUUUCUUCCCUUUUUAAGCUCCAUCUCAGUCUUUGGAGAGGCUUCAGAGGAAGAAGCAAUCUGAAAUACGUUACGCGUGCAUGGCUUGAUGAAUUUCAGAUGCUCGCCUUUCAUUUUGUCUCUCACUGACAAGUUGGGGUCCUGAACCGGGAGUGUAUAACGUGACUGUCAUCAAGGCUGAGAUAGCACAGAGGCUAGCAGGUAAUCAGGUUUCCCAGUAGUGGGGAGAAGCAAGGCAAAUCCCUCAGUCUGCCCUGGAGCCCAACCCACCUCUGCCCUACUGAAGAGUGGUGGGAAGCCAAGGAAGAUGAUGCCAUCUCCCACCUGUGAGCCUCUCCCUUCUGCUGUGCAAGAUGAAUGGCUCUCCAGGCUGCGUGCUGACUCCAGGAGCUGAGGAGGAGUCUCUUCUCAAAGAGGAGGAAAAUGCUGUACGCCCAGAUCCUUGUUGUGGCAGUGGCCAUGGCACAGUACAGAGCUGUGGCCGUACAUGAAGUGUGCGGGACAGCAGAGGUAGCAGAUAUUGUGUUCCUUGUGGGGCAGUCCCAGAGCACCGAGACAGAGAGCAC
rnacentral:lncRNA from 1 species